rnacentral:lncRNA from 1 species
UGCCUGGGCUGGGUCUCUGAGCAGAACCGAGUCAAAGCUCAGGCGCUCCUCUGCGAAAACAAGGAAAACCACGGUCAGAGCUCCCGGGGUUUGCCCUCUCAGGUUGAUCUUUGGAACCCCAUUAAAUCCGCCAAACACCUGUGUUUCAUCGUAGACACACAUUCCAUCCUCUUCAUAGCCUUCUCGAAAGCAGCAGUUCAUAUCUCAAAGUCACAUUGCUAGUCCUUUAAGUUUUCUCUGAAAUGUCUAAUUCAAGAAUGAAAAAUUUGGAUUACGAUAUUGUUAGUUAAAAAACUAGGAGGGGGAGGACCACAGCAGUGGGAGGCUGUUUAGGGCUAGACCCUACCUACAUUUUUGCCCAUCACGUGUCCACACAUCCUUACCAGCUACCACUCUUAAAAAAGAAUCCUUGAGAACUACUUUUCUGAACCUGCCUGAAACUUCCAAGGUCUUUUGAAGGUAUUUUCCACCCAUCUCUAGCAGAUGAGCUUAAUAAAAGGCCACUUUCUGCAGUGCCUUCAAUGUAAAUAUGGGAGAGGACAAAAAAAUGUUAUGUGCUAAAAAAAAUUAUAACACUAGAAAAAUGUGAGGAAAUGCUCCUAAGUCUAGUGUGUAGGGCAGCCCAAUUCGAAGCAGAAAGCAGGGGGUAUGCUUUUAGGGUUCUCAAAUUACAGGACUUCUGUGUUUGGGAUCCUCAAAUAUAGGGAAAGUACCAAGGUUCUAUGUGACACUGAAGGAAACCUUCGAGACAUUACCUAUUGUAUAGGUAGUUUGCCUACUAUUCCUGUGGCCUUAACAGUUCAGUCACCAGUACUACCAAGAAAAUAAAUUUUUUCUCAGAUCUAUUUUUUAAUU